rnacentral:sRNA from 1 species
CGGUCCCAGACACCAGAGCAAGCUCAAGACCCAGCAGUGGGACAGCCAGACAAACGGCACGAUGGCACUGAGCUCCCAGAUCUGGGCCGCUUGCCUCCUCCUCCUCCUCCUCCUCGCCAGCCUGACCAGUGGCUCCGUUUUCCCACAACAGGUGAGAGCUCAGUGGCCUGGGUCCUUAGCAGGGCAGCAGGGAUGGGAGAGCCAGGCCCCAGCCUAGGGCACUGGAGACACCCGAGCACUGAGCAGAGCUCAGGACGGCUCAGGGGGACUGGCAGCUGAACAGUGGCUCAUGCCUGUAAUCCCAGCACUUUGGGAGGCUGAGGCAGGCGGAUCACUUGGGGUCAGUUUGAGACCAGCCUGGCCAACAUGGUAAAACCCUGUCUCUACCAAAAAUACAAAAGUUAGCCAGGCUUGGUGGCAGGUGCCUCUAAUCCCAGCUACUCGGGAGACUCAGGCAGGAGAAUUGCUUGAACCCACAAGGUGGAGGUUGCACAGUGAGCUGAGAUUGCACCACUGCACUCCAGCCUGGCAACAGAGCAAAACUCCAUCUCCAAAAAAGAACAGAAAUCAAUGAAGCACCGAGUGACAGGGACUGGAAGAUCCUAAUUCCAUGGGUAUUUACGAAGCCCCUACGCUGUGUGGAGUCUUAUUCUAGACAGUGGGGACAAGGCCAUGAACAAGGUAGAUGAGAGAGGAGACUUCUCCAUCCUGGUCAGGGAAUUCAUUAAAGGCUGAUGAAAACAUGAACAAAUAAUUGUGUCUAGUACAUGCUAUUCGUGAAUCUCAUAACAGAUGGUGGUAGAGCGACCGUGACCCAUUCGCCACACAGUAGAGUUACUUUUUUGGUUUGUUUUUUAGAGACAGGGUCAUCCUCUGUUGCUGAGGCUGGAGUGCAGUGGUGCAGUCAUAGCUCACUGCAGCCUCAACCUCCUGUGCUCAAGCAAUCUUCCCACCUCAGCUUCCCAAGUAGCUGGGACAGCAGGCACACGCCACAGGCGGGGGGACCACAGGCACGGUCAAGGAGUUGGCAGUCAAGCAAGUGUUUCAUGAGAAAGUGACAGUUGACCUUCGUCUUGGAGGGUGAGAGAUGGAGUCAGCAAAGACCUAAGGAGAGGACAAGCCGGCAUAGCCCAGGGUCAGGCUGAACAAGAGGAGACGGUGGGACUUGGGGAUAAGGCUGAGGGGUGGGUAGUCCCAAAGUCUUGUGGGCAACCAUACAGACACUGAUUUUUCCUUGGAAUAAAGAGGAAGCCCCCAUAAGCUUUUUUUUUUUUUUUUUUUUUUUUUUUUUUUUUUUUUUCUGAGACAGGUUCUCGCUCUGUCGUUUAGGCUGGCGUGCGGUGGCAUCAUCUGGGCUCACUGCAACCUCCGCCUCCCGGGUUCAAGCAAUUCUCCUGCCUCAGCUUCCCAAGUAGCUGGGAUUACAGGUGCCUGCCACCACGCCUGGCUAAUUUUUGUACUUUUAGUAGAGACAAGAUUUCACCAUGUUGGCCAGACUGGUCUUGAACUCCUGACCUCAGGUGAUCCUCCCAUCUCGGCUUCCCAAAGUGCUGGGAUUACAGGCGUGAGCCACUGCGCCCAGCCUCCUGUAGGUUUUUAAAAUGGAGAAAACCACAAUCUCACUGGCCAUGUUUUAAAAAACUUAGUCUGCCAGUCGGGCACCAUGGCUCACACCUGUAAUCUCAGAGUUUUGGGAGGCCAAGGUAGGAAGAUCAGUUGAGCCCAGGAGUUCGAGACCAGCUUGGGCAACACAACCAGACCCCAUCUCUACAAAAAAUUAAAAAAUUAGCCGGGUGUGGUGGCGUGCACCUGCUGUCUCAGCUACUCGGGAAGCUGAGGCGGGAGCAUCGCUUGAGCACAGGAGGUCAAGGCUGCAGGGAGCUAUGACUGUGCCACUGCACUCCGGCCUGGGCAACAGAGGGAGACUCUGUCUAAAAAACAAACAAAAAAAGUGACUCUGCUGUGUGGCAAAUGGAUUGAGGGGCAAGAAUGCAGGGAGAUGUGUUAGGAGGCUGGCACUGGCAUCCAGGCAGGGGAAGGUGAUGUCCCAAAGAAGAGUAGCAGCUGUGGAAAGAGGAGGAGGCGGAUCUGGGAGGUUUUUUUUUAGGAAAAGCCGCCCAUGGGAAGGUGAGCAGAAGCAAGAAAGCAAGGCCCCUCCUAAGAGUCCAGCUAAGCUCUGGGUUUAAACCACUUGGAGAGGAGCAGGUUGCCGGGAGCCAGUCUCAGAGGUCCACUGGGCCCCUGCCAUCCUCAACACCCCCUUCUGCUUUCACAGACGGGACAACUUGCAGAGCUGCAACCCCAGGACAGAGCUGGAGCCAGGGCCGGCUGGACGGUGAGCGCAACAGUGAUGCCCUUCCCAGCCCCCUGCUCCCUCCCCAUGCCCAGGCCGGUUCCCUGCUCACACUCCCUUCCUUCCCACAGCCCAUGCUCCAGAGGCGAAGGAGGCGAGACACCCACUUCCCCAUCUGCAUUUUCUGCUGCGGCUGCUGUCAUCGAUCAAAGUGUGGGAUGUGCUGCAAGACGUAGAACCUUCCUGCCCUGCCCCCGUCCCCUCCCUUCCUUAUUUAUUCCUGCUGCCCCAGAACACAGGUCUUGGAAUAAAAUGGCUGGUUCUUUUGUUUUCC